UGAAUGAGUGACAAAUGAGGAUGAUGAUGAUGAUAAGAACAGGUAAUGAUGAAUACAGCUGCAGAAAAGUAAAUUAAGCACGCUUGAUGUUUUAACAAACUGAAAUCACCCAGCCUUGUGCUAUGCCCAAACUUGUUUCAAGCACAUUCAAA